CAAAGUGUAGCUUAAUAAAAGCAUCUGGCCUACGCCCAGAAGACUUCACACGCGUGAACACUUUGA
rnacentral:tRNA from 1 species